rnacentral:rRNA from 1 species
AACGAACGCUGGCGGCAUGCCUAACACAUGCAAGUCGAACGAGACCUUCGUGUCUAGUGGCGCACGGGUGCGUAACGCGUGGGAACCUGCCCUUAGGUUCGGAAUAACUCCCCGAAAGGGGUGCUAAUACCGGAUAAUGUCUUCGGACCAAAGAUUUAUCGCCUUUGGAUGGGCCCGCGUUGGAUUAGCUAGUUGGUAGGGUAAAAGCCUACCAAGGCGACGAUCCAUAGCUGGUCUGAGAGGAUGAUCAGCCACACUGGGACUGAGACACGGCCCAGACUCCGACGGGAGGCAGCAGUGGGGAAUAUUGGACAAUGGGCGAAAGCCUGAUCCAGCAAUGCCGCGUGAGGGAUGAAGGCCUUAGGGUUGUAAAGCUCUUUUACCCGGGAUGAUAAUGACAGCACCGGGAGAAUAAGCUCCGGCUAACUCCG